ensembl:lincRNA E130006D01Rik RIKEN cDNA E130006D01 gene
GAGAGCCACCGGGCUCUGGGCUGCGGAGGAGGUUGGAGGUGACCUUCCAGAAGGAACGUGGGACAAGGGAGCAAGUGAGGACCUGGUGGGUAGUGGUUACUCUGUGAGAAGCCAGCAGCACCAACCAAAUAGAAGGUGGAGAAGUGGCCCCCAGCUUCCCAGUUUGGGUUUGGGCCAAGACAACUAAGAAAAGGGUCCACCGUCUUCACUCCAGGUCAGAUGACCCUGCAUUGUAUCAAGUAGAAAAAUGUCUAACCAAGACAGAGGAGAAUACGAACCCUCUCAGCUCAUAGACAGGUGAUGAUGUGGUUUCCAACUGACUUUCAAGCAAACAGAUUUCCAAGCGUGCUUGAAGAGGGCAGUAAAUGAGAAGGCACAAGACUCUUACUCUGAAGGAGGACGAUCAGAACGGCAUAGCUGCCUUCUUGGCCUGUCACAGAAUUAAAUGGCAAAGGGUUCCGAGGACUAUCUAGCAUAUACUGCUGUCACUACAGGGGCGUGGUCUGUAAGAGGGAUAACCCAGCCCCCUAAUAAGGCAAGCAUGUCAUUUUCUGUGACAGAUGCAAGAAGAGAGAGGGGUUUGCUGGAAAUCGUGGCUGACCACCUCAGAAGGACCCAGAAGACCCGAACUUUCUGGUUUUGCCUUUCACCUUGCUCUGAAACUUCUCCCAACACUGGAAGACAAGAAAGUUCCGCCCUACCUCCGCCCCACCUCCGCCCCCUGGACCAGGGAGAUUCUUCUCUUUGGGCAAGCAGGCUUGCUGGGCAAUCGUGAGCUGCUGAGUUCCCAUCCCCAUAGAAAGCUGGACAUGGACAUGCAUGCCUGUUUCUGCAGCAUGCUCAACUCCAGGAGCUCUCUGGUCUCCUAUAAAUAAAGGAUAACACAUUCGGCCUUCUUACCAUUUC